rnacentral:rRNA from 1 species
CUCCGCCGGCGACCGGCGCACGGGUGAGUAACACGUAUGCAACCUGCCCCUGUCAGGGGGACAACCCGCCGAAAGGCGGGCUAAACCCGCGUACAUGCUACCGGGGCAUCCCGGAGGCAGGAAAGGCUUCGGCCGGACAGGGAUGGGCAUGCGGCGCAUUAGGCAGUAGGCGGGGUAACGGCCCACCUAACCGACGAUGCGUAGGGGUUCUGAGAGGAAGGUCCCCCACACUGGUACUGAGACACGGACCAGACUCCUACGGGAGGCAGCAG